CACCUGUGCAAUACAUAUUCAAAUUUAUUCACCAUGGUAACUAGUAUUAUACACGAAUACGCUCCAACCCAAUCCCAACCAAUAAUUAAUUACCACAUAUUAACUAGAAUAAGAAAAAAUUUGAUAAAACAAAUAGUAACACAUUACCUUCGGUGGCUUGAAUGGAUAAUCAGGUGGGAAAUGAAUGGAUACAAGAAAUACACCCCCAGCAAAUGGGCUGUCUGAUGGGCCCAUAAUUGUUGCUUGCCAAUGGAACAUGUCAUCAGCAACAGGGCCUGCAAAAUAGGCAGCACUCAAAAUUACAAAGUUCCAAAAGAUUAACUCAAAGCUGUGAUGGACUUAAAGGCAAAAAAGUUUAGAUAAUUAGAAAAGCAAGUGGAUUUGGAACCAAGAAAUAAAAUUCCAUUUCACCUAAUAUCUUCAAAGUUUUAUUCCUCCCAUCAUGUGAGAGAUUAGUGGGUUGAUAAGUCAAGUUAACUUCAUGAAUACAUAUAUAUAUAUAUAUAUAUCUUCAAUGACAAAUAAAAUAGAAAAAAAUAAGAAAACAUGCUGAGAUGGAAAUGAAGAAAGAACCAGUGCUGCGAGAAGAGAAGUGGAAUUGGAACCAAGAAAUAAAGUUCCGUUUCACCUGGUAUCUUAAAAACUUUAAGCCUCUCCAUCGUGGGAGUGAUUAGUGGGUAGAUAAGUCAACUCUAUGAGUAUAUAGUCUUCAAUGACAAAUGAAAAUAGAAACACAAAUAAGAUUGAGAAGGAGAUAAAGAAAGAACCAGCGCUACAAGAAGCAGGAGGGUCCUUCUGUAGGUCCUUCAACUCCUUGUUGAUCCGUUUUGAAGCCAUCUGGGAAUUUCUCAACAAACUGCAACGACAUCCAAAAGAAUAACACAAUUCAGUUCGACUACAAAUGUAUUUCCCAAUCCUAUCUAGACCUAAACAAAAAUAACACUAACAAAAAUAGUUGCCCGAUAUGGUGAAAUGUGAAUGUCAAAAAUACGAACGCGAGGUGACAAUAUUUCAAUCCAACACAAACAAGCAGUAAUUAUUUUGCCGAGGUGACAAUAUUUCAAUCCAACACAAACAAGCAGCAAUUAUUUUGUUCAAAAUAAUUAAAAGUAUCAUAACUGCUAGUUUCAAAACCAUUACCCUAUUCACUGCCAAACAUGUCACAGAAGAAAUUAGGUUUCAGUAGUUUUAAUUUUUAAAACCCUUCUAAUACAUAAAUCCCCCAAUUAAUCAACACCCAUUAACAUUCACAAGAAAUUAUUCACAAAAAAUUAUUUUUUCCCUUGAUUUUUCAGUCACCAAAAAAAUAAUUGAAAAAAACAUAAAACAACCAAUUAUUACCACCUCUAAAAGGACAAAUAAAAUAUACCCUCCAGAUCUAUAGACAGUACCAAAAAAAUAAUAAAUACAAAAAAUAUCUUUUUAAAUAAAACCUUAAUAAAAAUAAACAAUCAAACAACAAGCAGUGCCGGAUUAAAAUAUUAUAUGCACCGUAAUGAUAAUAAUGAUAACAAUAAUAAUAAAUAAGUUUACCCAACAGAGAAACAGUGCCGUACUUCGAGGGUUAUAUCUUAAAAGCAAACAGAAUCGAAAACACGAUCAUAAACCCUAACCCUAAUUCUAAAAAGUACAAAAAUUGUACCGACAGAUUUGAAGCAACAACCUUUAUUUAUAAAUUCAAACCAAAAUCAGGGACGAAGGCGUGAUUAUUGGGGAAUUUUCAAAAAUUAAUGAAGUAAUUGAGAAAUUUAAAAAAAAAUUAAAAAUUAAAAAUCGAAGCUUUACCUUUGUGGCCUGAGAGUUUGGGUCUGGUGUUAUUUUACGUUGCGAGUCAAAGUCACGCGAAAGCUUGUUUUGGGGUGAAUAUAUAGUGUGCGUGUGUGGCGGUCUCAUAUUGCCACGCACGGCUCCUACGUGGCAGAUUUUUGUUGGUCUGUUACUCUUAACUCUAUUAUGAGUAGUACUUGGCACUUACUGCUCUUGUGAAAUUUAUUUGGAAUAUAAUUACUCAAAAUAGUAAAUAAAUUAUAUGAUAAUGAUUUGAUAUUCUCAGAUAUAAAAUCAAAUGUUUUAAUUUUUUUUUAUAAAUAUGUCUUAAUGAUAUGAAAAACGUUGCUAACAAGUACUUAGCUAGUGAUUUAGGAUAUCAAAUAGUAUCCUAAGAAAAUUAAAUAGUGUAACUACGAGAAUAUAUACCACACAUAUGAAUGUAAUAUUUGGAUAUUAAUGAGAAUCAUCACAUGAUAAUUCUAAUUAUGAUUACCAUGAUAAUGAUGAUAUAUAUAUAUAUAUAUUUUACCAAGAUUCUCUAUUAUCUAAGUUUUUUAAUGAGCAAAGUACAAAUGAGUGAUUGGUGAUUAACAAGAAUUUGAAAGAAAUCUGUUUGGUUACUUGGUAUCAAUUGAUAGAGCCAACACUAGAGUCAGAGGUUGUUCAAAUAGCAAGAAGAUUGUUUUUUGGGUGGAGUUUUAAUGUAACUUGUACACGUUCCUAAUACGCUAUUCUCCUUUGUAAUGGAUUGAAUAUGCAUAUUGAUCUAAGGCUCCGUUUGGUACAGCUUAUUAAAUAGAGCUUAUAACAGUCUGCUGUACGGCCAAGGCGGAUGUACGGUACAGCAGUAAUAAGAAAAAAUUUGAUAAAACAAAUAGUAACACAUUACCUUCGGUGGCUUGAAUGGAUAAUCAGGUGGGAAAUGAAUGGAUACAAGAAAUACACCCCCAGCAAAUGGGCUGUCUGAUGGGCCCAUAAUUGUUGCUUGCCAAUGGAACAUGUCAUCAGCAACAGGGCCUGCAAAAUAGGCAGCACUCAAAAUUACAAAGUUCCAAAAG
rnacentral:lncRNA from 1 species